AUUUAUAAACGCGAUGACGUUCGCGAAACAAUUAAUUUUAAUUUGAUGACGUCUACUGUAGG
rnacentral:ncRNA from 2 species